rnacentral:rRNA from 1 species
ACGAACGCUGGCGGCGUGCCUAAUACAUGCAAGUAGAACGCACAGUUUAUACCGUAGCUUGCUACACCAUAAACUGUGAGUUGCGAACGGGUGAGUAACGCGUGGGUAACCUGCCUGGUAGCGGGGGAUAACUAUUGGAAACGAUAGCUAAUACCGCAUAAUAUUGAUUAUUGCAUGAUAAUUGAUUGAAAGAUGCUAUUGCAUCACUACCAGAUGGACCUGCGUUGUAUUAGCUAGUAGGUGAGGUAACGGCUCACCUAGGCGACGAUACAUAGCCGACCUGAGAGGGUGAUCGGCCACACUGGGACUGAGACACGGCCCAGACUCCUACGGGAGGCAGCAGUAGGGAAUCUUCGGCAAUGGACGAAAGUCUGACCGAGCAACGCCGCGUGAGUGAAGAAGGUUUUCGGAUCGUAAAGCUCUGUUGUAAGAGAAGAACGGGUGUGAGAGUGGAAAGUUCACACUGUGACGGUAGCUUACCAGAAAGGGACGGCUAACUACGUG